AUUGAACGCUGGCGGCAUGCCUAACACAUGCAAGUCGAACGGUAACGGGCCUUCGGGUGCCGACGAGUGGCGCACGGGGGUGUAAUACACCGGAACGUGCCCGAUCGUGGGGGGUAACGCGGCGAAAGCUGGGCUAAUACAGCAUACGAUCUACGGAUGAGAGCAGGGGACCGCAAGGCCUCGCGCGGACGGAGCGGCCGAUGGCAGAUUAGGUAGUUGGUGGGGUAAAAGCUUACCAAGCCGACGAUCUGUAGCUGGUCUGAGAGGAUGAUCAGCCACACUGGAACUGAGACACGGCCCAGACUCCUACGGGAGGCAGCAGUGGGGAAUUUUGGACAAUGGGCGCAAGCCUGAUCCAGCCAUGCCGCGUGCAGGAUGAAGGCCUUCGGGUUGUAAACUGCUUUUGUACGGAACGAAAAGCCUUCUUUUAAUACAGGAGGGUCAUGACGGUACCGUAAGAAUAAGCACCGGCUAACUACGUG
rnacentral:rRNA from 1 species